rnacentral:rRNA from 1 species
UCAUAUGCUUGUCUCAAAGAUUAAGCCAUGCAUGUCUAAGUAUAAGCAAUUAUACCGUGAAACUGCGAAUGGCUCAUUAAAUCAGUUAUCGUUUAUUUGAUAGUACCUUACUACUUGGAUAACCGUGGUAAUUCUAGAGCUAAUACAUGCUGAAAACCCCAACUUCGGGAGGGGUGUAUUUAUUAGAUAAAAAACCAACGCCCUUCGGGGCUUCUUGGUGAUUCAUGAUAACUUCACGGAUCGCAUGGCCUUGCGCCGGCGACGGUUCAUUCAAAUUUCUGCCCUAUCAACUUUCGAUGGUAAGGUAUUGGCUUACCAUGGUUUCAACGGGUAACGGGGAAUUAGGGUUCGAUUCCGGAGAGGGAGCCUGAGAAACGGCUACCACAUCCAAGGAAGGCAGCAGGCGCGCAAAUUACCCAAUCCCGACACGGGGAGGUAGUGACAAUAAAUACUGAUACAGGGCUCUUUUGGGUCUUGUAAUUGGAAUGAGUACAAUUUAAACCUCUUAACGAGGAACAAUUGGAGGGCAAGUCUGGUGCCAGCAGCCGCGGUAAUUCCAGCUCCAAUAGCGUAUAUUAAAGUUGUUGCAGUUAAAAAGCUCGUAGUUGAAACUUGGGCCUGGCUGGCAGGUCCGCCUCACCGCGUGUACUUGUCCGGCCGGGCCUUUCCUUCUGGAGAACCUCAUGCCCUUCACUGGGUGUGCUGGGGAACCAGGACUUUUACUUUGAAAAAAAUAGAGUGUUCAAGCAGGCCUUUGCU